rnacentral:rRNA from 1 species
AAGCGUUGAUCCAGAGAUUUCCGAAUGGGGGAACCCACUAUCUUUAGUCGGAUAGUAUCCUUACGUGAAUACAUAGCGUGAGGAAGGCAGACCCAGGGAACUGAAACAUCUAAGUACCUGGAGGAAGAGAAAGAAAAAUCGAUUUCCUGAGUAGCGGCGAGCGAAACGGAAAGAGCCCAAACCAAGAAGCUUGCUUCUUGGGGUUGUAGGACACUCUAUACGGAGUUACAAAAGAAAGUUAUAAAUGAAGCGGUCUGGAAAGGCCCGCCAAAGACGGUAACAGCCCGGUAGUUGAAAUAGCUUUCCCUCCAGAGUGGAUCCUGAGUACGGCGGAACACGUGAAAUUCCGUCGGAAUCCGGGAGGACCAUCUCCCAAGGCUAAAUACUCCCUAGUGACCGAUAGUGAACCAGUACCGUGAGGGAAAGGUGAAAAGCACCCCGGAAGGGGAGUGAAACAGUUCCUGAAACCGUGUGCCUACAAGUAGUUAGAGCCCGUUAAUGGGUGAUAGCGUGCCUUUUGUAGAAUGAACCGGCGAGUUACGAUUUGUUGCAAGGUUAAGCGGAAAAAGCGGAGCCGUAGCGAAAGCGAGUCUGAAUAGGGCGCAUAAGUAACAGGUCGUAGACCCGAAACCAGGUGAUCUACCCAUGUCCAGGAUGAAGGUAAGGUAAUACUUACUGGAGGUCCGAACCCACGCACGUUGAAAAGUGCGGGGAUGAGGUGUGGGUAGCGGAGAAAUUCCAAUCGAACUUGGAGAUAGCUGGUUCUCUCCGAAAUAGCUUUAGGGCUAGCCUCGAGGUAAAGAGUCAUGGAGGUAGAGCACUGUUUGGACUAGGGGCCCUUCUCGGGUUACCGAAUUCAGAUAAACUCCGAAUGCCAUGUACUUAUACUCGGGAGUCAGACUGCGAGUGAUAAGAUCCGUAGUCGAAAGGGAAACAGCCCAGACCACCAGUUAAGGUCCCCAAAUAUAUGUUAAGUGGAAAAGGAUGUGGGGUUGCUUAGACAACCAGGAUGUUGGCUUAGAAGCAGCCACCAUUGAAAGAGUGCGUAAUAGCUCACUGGUCGAGUGACCCCGCGCCGAAAAUGUACCGGGGCUAAACAUAUUACCGAAACUGUGGAUGAACCUCUUUAGAGGUUCGUGGUAGGAGAGCGUUCUAAGGGCGGUGAAGUCAGACCGGAAGGACUGGUGGAGCGCUUAGAAGUGAGAAUGCCGGUAUGAGUAGCGAAAGAAGGGUGAGAAUCCCUUCCACCGAAUAUCUAAGGUUUCCUGAGGAAGGCUCGUCCGCUCAGGGUUAGUCGGGACCUAAGCCGAGGCCGAUAGGCGUAGGCGAUGGACAACAGGUAGAGAUUCCUGUACCAGUGCUAAUUGUUUAACCGAUGGGGUGACACAGAAGGAUAGGGAAUCGCACGAAUGGAAAUGUGCGUCCAAGCAGUGAGUGUGAGAAGUAGGCAAAUCCGCUUCUCGCGAAGCAUGAGCUGUGAUGGGGAAGGAAAUUAAGUACGGAAGUUCCUGAUUUCACGCUGUCAAGAAAAGCCUCUAGGAAGAGUAGUACUGCCCGUACCGCAAACCGACACAGGUAGAUGAGGAGAGAAUCCUAAGGUGAGCGAGAGAACUCUCGUUAAGGAACUCGGCAAAAUGACCCCGUAACUUCGGGAGAAGGGGUGCUCUAUUAGGGUGCAAGCCCGAGAGAGCCGCAGUGAAUAGGCCCAGGCGACUGUUUAGCAAAAACACAGGUCUCUGCAAAACCGUAAGGUGACGUAUAGGGGCUGACGCCUGCCCGGUGCUGGAAGGUUAAGAGGAGUGCUUAGCUUCGGCGAAGGUACGAAUUGAAGCCCCAGUAAACGGCGGCCGUAACUAUAACGGUCCUAAGGUAGCGAAAUUCCUUGUCGGGUAAGUUCCGACCCGCACGAAAGGCGCAACGAUCUGGGCACUGUCUCAACGAGAGACUCGGUGAAAUUAUAGUACCUGUGAAGAUGCAGGUUACCCGCGACAGGACGGAAAGACCCCGUGGAGCUUUACUGCAACCUGAUAUGGAAUGUUUGUACCGCUUGUACAGGAUAGGUAGGAGCCGAAGAGACGUGUGCGCUAGCAUACGAGGAGGCAAUGGUGGGAUACUACCCUGGCUGUAUGACCAUUCUAACCCGCCACGCUUAGCGCGUGGGGAGACAGUGUCAGGUGGGCAGUUUGACUGGGGCGGUCGCCUCCUAAAGAGUAACGGAGGCGCCCAAAGGUUCCCUCAGAAUGGAUGGAAAUCAUUCGCAGAGUGUAAAGGCACAAGGGAGCUUGACUGCGAGACUGACAAGUCGAGCAGGGACGAAAGUCGGGCUUAGUGAUCCGGUGGUUCCGCAUGGAAGGGCCAUCGCUCAACGGAUAAAAGCUACCCCGGGGAUAACAGGCUUAUCUCCC